UACAGAGGGUGCGAGCGUUAAUCGGAAUUACUGGGCGUAAAGCGCACGUAGGCGGCGGCGUAAGCGGGAUGUGAAAGCCCAGGGCUCAACCCUGGAAGUGCAUCCCGAACUGUGUCGCUUGAAUCUCGGAGGGGGACAGAGAAUUCCCGGUGUAGAGGUGAAAUUCGUAGAUAUCGGGAGGAAUACCAGUGGCGAAGGCGCUGUCCUGGACGAAGAUUGACGCUGAGGUGCGAAAGCGUGGGGAGCAAACAGG
rnacentral:rRNA from 1 species